GUUCGUCCGCCCAGGGUAAGUCGGGACCUAAGGAGAGGCCGAAAGGCGUAUCUGAUGGACAGCAGGUAGAAAUUCCUGCACCACCGAUAUACUUAAAAAAUGCAAGGGACACAGUAGUGGAAGGAAAGCGAGGAAGAGGAAAGACUCGUAUCGAAAGAUAUAGUGAAAAAAUAAGUAACGAAUUUCCAAGAAGCACACUGGCGAGAAAAGCUUGUAGGAAUUGUAUAAAGGUGCCCGUACCGCAAACCGACACAGGUAGAUGAGGAGAGGAUCCUAAGAUGAGCGAGAGAAGCAUUGUUAAGGAACUCGGCAAAUUGACCCCGUAACUUAGGGAGAAGGGGUGCCAAAGUAAAAUUUGGUCGCAGAGAAGAGGCCCAAGCAACUGUUUAACAAAAACACAGGUUUCUGCUAAAUCGAAAGAUGAAGUAUAGGAGCUGACGCCUGCCCAGUGCUGGAAGGUCAAGGGGAAGAGUUAGGAUUAAACCGAAGCUUAGAACCAAAGCCCCAGUGAACGGCGGCCGUAACUAUAACGGUCCUAAGGUAGCGAAAUUCCUUGUCAGGUAAGUUCUGACCCGCACGAAAGGCGUAAUGAUUUGGGCGCUGUCUCGACAAUGUACUCGGCGAAAUUGUAGUACUAGUGAAGAUGCUAGUUACCUGCGACAAGACAGAAAGACCCCAUGGAGCUUUACUGUAGCUUGAUACUGGGUUUCGAUAAUUUAUGUACAGGAUAGGUGGGAGGCGAAGAAGCAAUUGCGCCAGCAGUUGUGGAGUCAUCCUUGGGAUACCACCCUUAAGUUAUUGAAAUUCUAACCUGUAGUCCUGAGCGGGCUAGGGGACAAUGUCAGGCGGGCAGUUUGACUGGGGCGGUCGCCUCCAAAAGAGUAACGGAGGCGCGCAAAGGUUUCCUCAGCGCGGACAGAAAUCGCGCGAAAGAGUGCAAAGGCAGAAGGAAGCUUAACUGAGAGACUGACAAGUCGACCAGAUACGAAAGUAGGUCUUAGUGAUCCGGCGGUAGUGAGUGGAAAUGCCGUCGCUCAACGGACAAAAGUUACCCUGGGGAUAACAGGCUUAUCUCCCCCAAGAGUUCACAUCGACGGGGAGGUUUGGCACCUCGAUGUCGGCUCAUCACAUCCUGGAGCGGAAGUACGUUCCAAGGGUUGGGCUGUUCGCCCAUUAAAGUGGUACGCGAGCUGGGUUCAGAACGUCGUGAGACAGUUCGGUCCUUAUCUGUCGCAGGCGAAGGAUAUUUGAGGGGAGUUGACCUUAGUACGAGAGGACCAGGUUGAACUUACCAAUGGUGUAUCAGUUGUCGUACCAACGGCACGGCUGAGUAGCUAAGUAGGGAAGGGAUAAACGCUGAAAGCAUCUAAGUGUGAAGCCCACCCCAAGAUAAGAUAUCCCAUACCGUAAGGUAGUAAGAUUCCACGUAGACUAUGUGGUAGAUAGGUUGGAGGUGUAAGUGCAGUAAUGCAUUAAGCUGACCAAUACUAAUAAAUCGAGGGCUUAACCA
rnacentral:rRNA from 1 species